UUCCGUAGGUGAACCUGCGGAAGGAUCAUUACCGAGUGAGGGCCCUCUGGGUCCAACCUCCCACCCGUGUUUAUUUUACCUUGUUGCUUCGGCGGGCCCGCCUUAACUGGCCGCCGGGGGGCUCACGCCCCCGGGCCCGCGCCCGCCGAAGACACCCUCGAACUCUGUCUGAAGAUUGUAGUCUGAGUGAAAAUAUAAAUUAUUUAAAACUUUCAACAACGGAUCUCUUGGUUCCGGCAUCGAUGAAGAACGCAGCGAAAUGCGAUACGUAAUGUGAAUUGCAAAUUCAGUGAAUCAUCGAGUCUUUGAACGCACAUUGCGCCCCCUGGUAUUCCGGGGGGCAUGCCUGUCCGAGCGUCAUUGCUGCCCUCAAGCACGGCUUGUGUGUUGGGCCCCGUCCUCCGAUCCCGGGGGACGGGCCCGAAAGGCAGCGGCGGCACCGCGUCCGGUCCUCGAGCGUAUGGGGCUUUGUCACCCGCUCUGUAGGCCCGGCCGGCGCUUGCCGAUCAACCCAAAUUUUUAUCCAGGUGACCUC
rnacentral:sRNA from 1 species